CUGGCUCAGAUGAACGCUGGCGGCAGGCCUAACACAUGCAAGUCGAACGGUAACAGGAGAAGCUUGCUCUUGCUGACGAGUGGCGGACGGGUGAGUAAUGUCUGGGAAAACUGCCUGAUGGAGGGGGAUAACUACUGGAAACGGUAGCUAAUACCGCAUAACGUCGCAAGACCAAAGAGGGGGACCUUCGGGCCUCUUGCCAUCGGAUGUGCCCAGAUGGGAUUAGCUAGUAGGUGGGGUAACGGCUCACCUAGGCGACGAUCCCUAGCUGGUCUGAGAGGAUGACCAGCCACACUGGAACUGAGACACGGUCCAGACUCCUACGGGAGGCAGCAGUGGGGAAUAUUGCACAAUGGGCGCAAGCCUGAUGCAGCCAUGCCGCCGUGUAUGAAGAAGGCCUUCGGGUUGUAAAGUACUUCAGCGGGGAGGAAGGGAGUAAAGUUAAUACCUUUGCUCAUUGACGUUACCCGCAGAAGAAGCACCGGCUAACUCCGUGCCAGCAGCCGC
rnacentral:rRNA from 1 species